AUCUUCAAGCCACCGCGCCACCGUCUCGUUCAUGUCCACGUAUCAAACUGGCGGGAAAAUUAAAACAUCGGCGAAAGUGCAGAAGAACUUGACUAAAAUAAAUAAAUCAAACAAAACUAACUCUUCAAAUUCAAUUCAAUUUCAAAUCCUUUAAAAUUGGCUCUAGCUUCUCUUGCAAUCUUUCUCCCUUUCAUUUCUCUAUAUAAACAAGCACAAUCCUUAGCAGCUCCUACAACCUGUUCGAUAGAAUUUCUCGAUCACCUUUCCAGUUAAAAUCAAACUUUUUUCUCUUCAAAUAUUAUACAAUCAUGUAUGUGAUAAAACGUGAUGGGCAUCAAGAAACCGUUCAUUUCGACAAAAUCACUGCUCGAUUGAAGAAACUGAGUUAUGGGUUAAAUAGUGAGUACUGUGACCCUGUUCUUGUGGCUCAAAAAGUUUGCUCGGGGUUCUAUAAAGGUGUCACCACUACUCAACUUGAUGAGUUAGCCGCUGAGACAGCGGCUGCUAUGACUACUAAUCACCCUGAUUAUGCUAUUUUGGCUGCGAGAGUUGCUGUUUCGAAUUUGCACAAAAAUACAAAGAAGUCAUUCUCAGAGACGAUCAAAUUAAUGUAUAGUCAUAUUAAUAAGAGGUCAGGGCAGAAGGCUUCUCUUAUUGCAGAUGAUGUUUAUGAAAUAAUCAUGAAGAAUGCUACUCGUCUGGAUAGUGAGAUCAUUUAUGACAGAGAUUUUGACUAUGAUUACUUUGGCUUCAAAACUCUUGAGAGGUCCUACCUUUUGAAGAUUGAUGGGAAGAUUGUAGAAAGACCACAACACAUGUUGAUGAGGGUUGCUAUUGGUAUCCACAAAGAUGACGUUGAAUCUGCUGUUAAAACAUAUCACUUGAUGGCUCAACGAUGGUUCACACAUGCUACCCCUACUCUUUUCAAUGCAGGAACACCCCAGCCCCAAUUGAGUAGCUGCUUUCUUGGGUGCAUGAAAGAUGAUAGCAUCGAGGGCAUAUUUGACACUUUGAAGGAGUGUGCUGUUAUUAGCAAGGUUGCUGGAGGAAUUGGUCUUUCUGUGCAUAACGUUCGUGCUACAGGCAGUUUUAUUUGCGGGACAAAUGGGGAAUCAAAUGGUAUUGUUCCCAUGCUUCGAGUGUUUAAUGACACUGCUCGCUACGUUGAUCAAGGGGGAGGAAAGAGGAAGGGUGCUUUUGCCAUAUAUUUGGAGCCCUGGCAUGCAGAUAUCUUUGAGUUUUUAGAUCUCAGGAAAAACCAUGGAAAGGAAGAACGUCGAGCUAGAGAUUUGUUCUAUGCUCUUUGGAUUCCUGAUCUCUUUAUGGAAAGAGUCCGAGGUGAUGGCAGCUGGUCUUUGUUUUGCCCUAAUGAAGCUCCUGGUUUGGCUGAUUGUUGGGGUGAAGAAUUUGAGAAAUUAUACACUUUUUAUGAAGACGGGGAUAGGGCAAAGAAAGUUAUACCUGCUAGGAAACUCUGGUUUGAGAUUUUAAAUUCGCAGAUUGAAACAGGAACCCCUUAUAUGCUUUUCAAGGAUUCUUGUAAUAGGAAGAGCAACCAGCAGAAUCUGGGCACUAUAAAGUCCUCAAACCUGUGUACUGAGGUUAUUGAGUUCACAAGUCCAACCGAAACUGCAGUUUGCAAUUUGGCAUCCAUUGCUCUACCACGAUUUGUCAGGGAAAGGGGGGUGCCCAUUGAGUCACACUCAUCUAAAUUGGUGGGAAGUAGAGAUUCAAAGACUCGAUAUUUUGAUUUUGCAAAACUAGCGGAGAUUACUGUGACAAUUACUGCAAAUUUAAACAAGAUCAUCGAUAUUAAUUACUACCCAGUUGAUACUGCAAGGAGAUCAAAUUUACGACACAGGCCAAUGGGUAUUGGAGUUCAAGGUCUCGCUGAUACUUUUAUUCUGCUUGGCAUGCCUUUUGACUCACUGGAGGCCCAGCAACUGAACAAAGACAUAUUUGAGACCAUUUACUACCAUGCACUGAAAUCGUCUUCUGAGCUGGCUGCUAUAGAUGGCCCUUAUGAAACAUAUAAAGGGAGCCCCGUGAGCAAGGGGAUUCUUCAGAUGGAUAUGUGGGGUGUGAUCCCAUCUGACAGAUGGGAUUGGAAUGUCCUUAGGGAAAUGAUCUCGAAGAACGGGGUAAGAAAUUCCCUUCUUGUAGCUCCUAUGCCCACUGCUUCAACAAGUCAGAUACUUGGUAACAAUGAGUGCUUUGAGCCUUAUACAUCAAAUAUUUAUAGCCGCCGAGUUUUAAGUGGUGAAUUUGUUGUGGUGAACAAACACCUCCUUCAUGAUUUGACAGAGAUUGGUCUUUGGUCCCAUGCUCUUAAAAACAAGAUAAUUUAUGAGAAUGGCUCUGUUGCCAAAGUUCCUGAGAUUCCUGAGCAGCUGAAAGCUAUCUACAAAAAAUGUCAGGACUGUGUGGGAAAUCAAGCAAAAGACAUUGGUUGAUAUGGCUGUUGCUCGGGGAUGCUACAUAGACCAGAGUCAGAGUCUAAAUAUUCACAUGGAUCAACCUGAUCUAGGGAAACUAACUUCAUUGCAUUUCUAUGCUUGGUCCAAGGGCCUGAAAACAGGGAUGUACUAUCUGAGAACACGUGCUGCAGCUGAUGCAAUCAAGUUCACUGUUGAUACAUCUGUUCUCAAACAUGAAAAUGUUAAUAGCACGAAUGACUACGUUGAUACUGAUAUGGCACAAAUGGUUUGCUCUUUGAGGAAUAGAGAAGAGUGCAUGGCUUGUGGCAGCUAAAGUCCAAAUGCGAGGCGACUGAAGUUUGAUUCAUGGACUCUUCAGAAUCAGGCAACUUUACCCGGAAGUAAAUCUAACUCCUCACUACCUGGAAGCUUUAGGUAAGAUUGUGACUUGGGACAAUACCUUAAUGCUUUCUUCACUCGGCAAGCUAAUUCAUAUGUUAUGGGUUCUUUUUCUCUUGAUUUAUGAUUAUCAUUGACUGGUGAAAAUUCUGAUGCUACUAUGCCACUUGCUUUAAGCUAUGCAUUUUUCAUAAGCUAAAGCAAUACAUUGUUCUGAAAUUGUCAAGGGUCAGAAAGGAAUAUCUUUCUGGGCCAAAUUAGAUAAGGUAGCAAUCUUUUUGACCUGAAAAGAAAAACACAUGUAUGAUCCAUAACUUUCCAAGUCAUAUUCUUUACUUCAAAGGGUUUA